rnacentral:misc_RNA from 1 species
UGAGCCUCACUCUCCCAAAUCUCAAUUUCUUUGGCUUUGGUGAAAAUGAUUUUUCUGGGUCAAUUCCAAAUUCAUUAUUCAAUGCCUCUCGGUUGGAAAUAAUUAAUCUUGGUUGGAAUGAAUUUGCUGGACAAAUGCCAAUAAAUAUAAGAAAUCUAAAAAAUCUCGACUUCAUUGAAAUAAUUUGGGAAACAACUGAUAAUCUUGGAAAAAUUUUGGGGGGGGGCUAGUUUACCUAAUUCUGUGUCCAAUCAGUCAAUUGAACUCGAUCUACUUUAUUUUUGGGUGCAAUCAAAUCAAAG